rnacentral:lncRNA from 1 species
ACUCUGUAUGUGACAUUCGAGCUUGCAGUAGGGGACUGCGGGGCAUCAGCUCAGGCUGCACAGAGCAGGAUGCUGCCCUGCUACGGAUGGACAGCCUGGAGGAGACACUCCAGGAACUAGAGACCACCCUGAGCGAGAUGGGCGCCAAAUCGACUAUGCCGUGUCCAGGCAGCCCCCAAUCCCUACGUCCCCACCCCCAGGUGGCUGCUACUCCCCUCCUCUCCCCUGCUGUCUUCCUGCUCCAGCCUCUGGGCUUGCAGAGUUGGGGAGCAGGGCCACAGGAGCACUGCCCACCUCCCUCAUCCUAUUGUCUAUAUUUCAGCCUACCAUGCUCUGGGAGCCUUCGUCCAGGCCAAGGCCUAUGGGCAGAGCCAGGGGCGGCCGGGAAGCCGGCCCACCCAGGACUCCGCUCUCCUGCUCAGGCAUGAACCAAGGGGGCUCUGUCCCUAUCUGCUCUCUGUAAGCCAGAGAAUAAAGCUUUCUCCUCUUCUCCACCCC